UACGAAGGGGGCUAGCGUUGUUCGGAAUCACUGGGCGUAAAGCGCACGUAGGCGGACCAUUAAGUCAGGGGUGAAAGCCUGGAGCUCAACUCCAGAACUGCCUUUGAUACUGAUGGUCUCGAGUUCGGAAGAGGUUGGUGGAACUGCGAGUGUAGAGGUGAAAUUCGUAGAUAUUCGCAAGAACACCAGUGGCGAAGGCGGCCAACUGGUCCGGUACUGACGCUGAGGUGCGAAAGCGUGGGGAGCAAACA
rnacentral:rRNA from 1 species